CCGGUGGUUUCGGCCAGCGGUUAGCGGCGGACGGGUGAGUAACGCGUGGGAGACCUAGCCUGCCGGUGGGGGAUAACUGCCCGAAAGGGUGGCUAAUCCCGCAUGCGUCCGUCGGGUCGAGCCGACGGGGAAAGCCGGGGAACCGGCGCCGGAGGGGGGUUCCGCGUCCCAUUAGGUGGUUGGUGGGGUAGCGGCCUACCAAGCCUGCGAUGGGUAGCCGGUCUGAGAGGAUGGCCGGCCACACUGGGACUGAGACACGGCCCAG
rnacentral:rRNA from 1 species